ensembl:lncRNA
UCUUUCCUGGAUGGAGACCAAAAGACCAGAUAACCAGAGAGAAGAGAAGAUGGCAACCAGCAUUUCCAGCGUUUACUCAUUGAUUUAUCCCUGAGGUUUUUUUCUUUAUGAAAUAAUUAUAUACCAGCUGGUGGUUCCCAGGUGGUGCUAGUGGUAAAGAACCUGCCUGCCAAUGCAAGAGACAAGUGAGACGUGGGCUUGAUCCCUGGGUUGGGAAGAUCUGCUCAAAGAGGGCACAGAACCCCCACCAGUAUUUUUGCCUGGAGAAUUCCAUGGACAGAAGAGCAUGGCGGGCUACAGUCUGUGGGGUCACAAAGAGUUGGACACGAUCGAGGCGACUUAGCACAGCACAUAAACCAGCUGGAACACAAUAUUUGCUUAAUACAUAUCUUAAAUGUAUUCCUCUUCAAACAAUACCUUCAUCCUCUAAUAAAUCAGUGUCAAAUCACUCGUUACUACAAAAAUGUUUUAAAGUCUGUCCAUGUUUGAAAUCAUUUCAUAAAUCGCUCAUCUUUGGGGCAUUGUGGACUAGCUGACGUGGACAUUCUUUCUCAAGCACGAACAGGCACAGGACGUGGUAUGUGAUGGUUCUGGGGCCCUGGGACCUGCCUACCAGGGCAGCUGGGUCUGGUGUCUCCCCAGCUCUCCCACCAGGACUGGUCCUGCCCAGCCUUGACUGGCUCCUCACCCCAGCCUCACCAGGCUCCCAGAUCAGCCUCCAUCACCCCCAAACUCUCUGCUAUCACCAGGUCUCUGGCCUCCAUCUCUUCUCCGUCCCUGCCUCCACAGCCCCAAUCUUCUCUCAAGCCUCACUCCAGGGACUGCCAGACAUCCUGCCCCAGGCUCCAGCACCAUGAACUUCCCUCUCCCCCACCCUGGCUGCGAUCAUCCAUCUGCCCACCUGCCACCCUCACUGGCUAUGGGCCCCUGGAGAGCAGGGAGCAAGUCGUGUACUCAAUAAAUAUUUGCUGGACUGAUGAGUCAGUGAACAUAGGAGACCAGAGGAAAGGUCCUAGUGGGUGGAGAGAGGCCAAGCAGGAAGAGAAGAAAAGUGGAAGGGUAUUUUAUGCAUAAUUUAUUACCUUUCAGUCCACCAUGGUUUCAUUUAAAAGACAGGAAGGUAAGAGAUAAUGGAAAUACAUCUAUAAAACAUGAGCAGAUGGUAUCCAACUUAUUUGUUCCAAAAGUGUGUUUAUAAGUUUAUAAGUUGGUUGCUUAGAACAUGGCAUUGUAUCUUCUGUUAAAAAUUCAAAUCAAGAUCUAUGACAGACUUCUCUGGAGUUAUAGUGGUUAAGAAUCCGCCUUUCAAUGCAGGGAACACUGAUUCGAUCCCUCGUCUGGGAAUAUCCCACAUGCCACGGGGCAACUAAACCCAUAGGACACAACUACUGAACCCACUCGCCCUAGAGCCCGUGCUCUGCAACAAGAGAAGCCACCGCAAUGAGAAGCCUACUCACUGCAACUAGAGUUGCCCCUGCUCACCACAACUAGAGAAAGCCUACAUGCCCCAAUGAAGAUUUAGAGCAGCCAUAAACAAAUUUAAAAAAAAAAAGAGAGAAGAUCAAUGACAAAUAUAGAUUUGCUAUUAACAUAAGUGCCAUGUACUGUGCCACGCAUCUUCCAUAGGUAGGAAUUCCUAUUCCCAUUUUACAGAUGAAGGAAGAGAGUUGCAGGAAGAUUUGGUAACUGUCUCAAGAUCAUGUAGCUCGUUAGAGGAAGAGUUGUGAGUUGACUCCAGGUCUGUCUGUUUCUAAAUCUUGUGCUUUCUUCCCCUAAGCUGAACUGUCUUUAAUUCCCACCAACAUUGCCAGCUGCUCUGAUUGGUUGGCCACCAGCCUUGCAGCUUCCUCAUUGGCCAAUCCUCCUAGUGGGGAGGGCUCUGGUGGCCACAAGGACCUAUAGGAUAUAAGCUGUGGACAGAAGGGAGCAGAGGGACAAAGAGCCUCCUUCUUGGCAGACCUUAUCAGCUUAACCCACAGAAGGUCAGGCCAAGUGCACUGGAAAUGCCUGAAAGAGAAACAAGGUUAGAGUUCUGGAAAUCGUUUCCCCUUUCCUCCUGCCCCUAUAACUGCACCAAGAUGGCAGAUGCAGAAUUAGAGCAGUUUCAGCCCUUUUGGGGGCUUCCCAGGUAGCGCUCGUGGUAAAGAAUCAGCUUGCCAAUGCAGGAGACAUAAGAGACUCAGUUUUGAUCCCUGGGUCCGGAAGAUCCCCUGGUGAAGGAAAUGGCAACCCAC